rnacentral:misc_RNA from 1 species
GGCAAUUAUGGUAAUUUUUACCCUUUUUUUAUUUUUUAUAUAUAAGGAUAAUUUCAUUGAUAAGAGCUAUUAUAAGGAAGGCCUAGGAGCCAUUACAAAGAGGCAUUUCACACAGCAACUAAAGGAAGCAUGAAACUCAAAGCCCAACCCAAAAACAUAAUCCAAGCCCACCAAAAGAGAAAUCCUAUAUCUGGGAACCGCACGCUUGGGGACCAGCGCCUUGAGAACACCAUCGAGCAACAAAUUGUGCAUUAAGUUAGACCUCUAACCAGGUUGAAAAGAUCACAAAGAUACUCAGGAGAGAAGCUCUGUAUGAGCUAGUAUAGCUUCCUAAACUUCUCUCCUCAGAAAUGCAGACCUAGCUGAAAAUAGAACCUCAUAUUCAAAAUCAGAGCUCUCAACCAUGCUGGGGUUCUACUCAAGGGAUAGGAAAAUUGAGGAGGAGAGAUAGAGCUCACAUGGCCUCUCAAUCUCUUUUAUAGCCGGAGGGAGUAGUCAGCCAUUCGAGCCCGACACUUGAAGCCCUCGAGAUACCCUUUUCUCCCAUGACGCUGUAGCUGAAGCAUAAUCCCCCAAUCAGAACCGCUAGAGCAAAGCCUCCACAACUACUAGCAAACAUAUUCGCACCAAAAAGCAAACAACCGAACCAAAUGGCAGCCUAAAGAUAUCCCUCCCGAAAGUGGGGAUGGAAGAACUCAUUUUCUGGUCAAGGACAAAAAGUCUUAUCCUGUUCAGAUGGGGCAGGGUAAGCCGCUGACCUUCAAAACACAGAGGACUUAGCCUCUGGGAAGGACCAAAAUGAGAGAAAAUUC